UUAGCUUGUUGGCGGGGUAACGGCCCACCAAGGCUGCGAUGGGUAGCCGGCCUGAGAGGGUGAUCGGCCACAUUGGGACUGAGAUACGGCCCAGACUCCUACGGGAGGCAGCAGUAGGGAAUUUUGCGCAAUGGACGAAAGUCUGACGCAGCAAUGCCGCGUGAGUGAUGAAGGCCUUCGGGUCGUAAAGCUCUGUUGAGUGGGAAGAAACGUUCGGCGGUUAAUACCCGUCGAGCCUGACGGUACCACUCGAGGAAGCCCCGGCUAGCUACGUGCCAGCAGCCGCGGUAAUACGUAGGGGGCAAGCGUUGUUCGGAAUUACUGGGCGUAAAGGGAGCGUAGGUGGGAAAGUGAGUUAGGAGUGUAAUACGCAGGCUUAACCUGCGGCUCGCUUCUAAUACUGCUUUUCUUGAGUAUGGGAGAGGGAGACGGAAUUCCAGGUGUAGCGGUGGAAUGCGUAGAUAUCUGGAAGAACAUCAGUUGCGAAGGCGGUCUCCUGGCCCAAUACUGACACUGAGGCUCGAAAGCUAGGGGAGCAAACAGGAUUAGAUACCCUGGUAGUCCUAGCCGUAAACGAUGGACACUAGAUGUUGGGGGAGUUAUUCCUUCAGUGUCGUAGCUAACGCGUUAAGUGUCCCGCCUGGGGAGUACGCUCGCAAGGGUGAAACUCAAAGGAAUUGACGGGGGCCCGCACAAGCGGUGGAGCAUGUGCUUUAAUUCGAUGCAACGCGAAGAACCUUACCUGGGCUUGACAUGGGAGUGAAAUCCCGUAGAGAUACGGGACUUUCCUUCGGGAACACUCCACACAGGUGCUGCAUGGUUGUCGUCAGCUCGUGUCGUGAGAUGUUGGGUUAAGUCCCGCAACGAGCGCAACCCUCGCCCUUAGUUGCCAGCGGGUAAUGCCGGGAACUCUAGGGGGACUGUCUGGUACAACCAGGAGGAAGGUGGGGAUGACGUCAAAUCAUCAUGGCCCUUACGCCCAGGGCUAGACACGUGCUACAAUGGCUGGUACAACGGGCUGCAAGCUCGCGAGAGCAAGCCAAUCCCUAAAAACCAGCCUCAGUUCAGAUUGGAGUCUGCAAUUCGACUUCAUGAAGGUGGAAUCGCUAGUAAUCGCGGAUCAGCAUGCCGCGCUGAUACGUUCCCGGGCCUUGUA
rnacentral:rRNA from 1 species